AUGACAACUUCUGAAUCAAAGACCCAGAAGGAAACAAUUGACUUAAGGAGUUGGAAUGAGUUGAUCACAUUUGCAUGUCUUUGCAACAGGGGUAGUAUACAUUGUUUGAACCCAAAACAAAUGCCUGGGUUAGAUAGCAAAACUCAUUUCCUGUUACUUACCUUGGAACAUAAUGGCAGCCCUUACACAAAAGUAAGUUGGGGGCACAUACGGUGCACUAGCCACAAGAGUUGUACUGAUGCACCAUAUGCCCCAAGAACAGGAGUAACACUGUGUCUCAAGCUAACUACUUUUAAUACGAGUCCCUCUCUUAUCAUGCAUCCAUUGAUUCGUGUAACAUUUUUACCGGAUACAUGCAGGAAUUGGAUUUUGUAG
rnacentral:rRNA from 1 species